UGAAAUGUACAGCAUGGGGAAAACACUGUAAUGGAGGAUCUAUCAAUAAUACUGUUAUAACUUUGUAUAGUGACAGAUGGGAACUUGACUUAUGGUGAUCAUUUUGUAAUGUAUAGGAAUAUCGAACCAAUAUAUUGUGUACUUGGAACUAACAUAAUGUUGUGGAUCAAUUAUAUCUCAAUUAAAAAAAAGAGAAGUAUGAUGAACUUUUUUUGGGUUGGGGAGACAAGCUGUAGUUCAUAUAUACACCAUCGAUGUCAAUGUGAAAAGUUCCAUAAGACAAGAUUAAUUAUACCACAGAGCUGUGUGUACAGAUAGUUGUUGAAUGAGCCAGGGAGAUGACAGUAAGUACUAUGAAUUAAGUAAAGGGUGGAGAAGUCUGAGGAGGUGGGACUGUACCUAAGCCCUGAAGAACUGAAAUUGGAUCAACAGGGAAGAAGCAAGGGAGUAGUGUGGCACUGAGGAACACUGAACAGUAGACAGUGUGUAGAACAGUAUGACGGUGGUAGCAUUAAUCU